AUCAACUCUCCAAAAGUCUGCCAGCAGAAGGGAUCAUACAUGUGGUAGCCCUCUUGCAACGGUUUUAGCUGUAUGGCAGUCAGUGUUACAUCUGUACAUGGUAGGCUGUCACUACAGGCAAAGUGUACGGGCUUGACUGUGCGGGUCUCAAUUUAAGUACAGAUAAACAAAGUGAAGGAAAGGGGAGCAGAAGUUAUAGUUGCUAAUGAAGACAAAAGAACUGCAGAAAACAACAAAGAAGUCUUCAUGUUAUCCGUGUUCAAGAUCUAAUCCCCUAUUGGAUGGUCCACUACUAAUUUAGGAGAGAAAACGUCAUAUAAUUGGUGGUUGAAAUGGGAGAGUUUCUGGAGCCAUGUGUCAGAUUGUGAAUGGUCAGAGAUUGUUGGCUCUAAUGGAUAAGGCUUUGGCAGGAUAGUAUUGUGUUUUGCACAAUCUUGUUUCAGGCUGUAUUCUUGAUUCUUGCUCGAUGGUUGGCCCACAACUGUGUAAUUCAUCUAUCAAAAGA